GCUUAGUAAGCUUAGUUGGUAGUGCGUCUGCCUUGUAAGCGCUAGGCCGCGGGUUCGAUUCCCGCCCGGGGCG
rnacentral:tRNA from 1 species